rnacentral:rRNA from 1 species
GGGCUUUUGGAGGGCAAGUCUGGUGCCAGCAGCCGCGGUAAUUCCAGCUCCAAUAGCGUAUAUUAAAGUUGUUGCAGUUAAAAAGCUCGUAGUUGAAUUUCGGGAUCAUCAGGUUGGUCGUGCCACUGGUAUGUACUGGCCUUGCUGAUUCCUCCCUCUUGACGAACCGUAAUGCCAUUAAUUUGGUGUUGCGAGGAAUCAGGACUGUUACUUUGAAAAAAUUAGAGUGUUUAAAGCAGGCAA